GCCCUUCGGGGUGAGUACAGCGGCGGACGGGUGAGUAACGCGUAGGAAUCUACCUAGUAGUGGGGGACAACUCGUGGAAACGCGAGCUAAUACCGCAUACGCCCUACGGGGGAAAGCGGGGGAUCUUCGGACCUCGUGCUAUUAGAUGAGCCUGCGUAAGAUUAGCUAGUUGGUGGGGUAAUGGCCUACCAAGGCGACGAUCUUUAGCUGGUCUGAGAGGAUGAUCAGCCACACCGGGACUGAGACACGGCCCGGACUCCUACGGGAGGCAGCAGUCGGGAAUAUUGCGCAAUGGGCGAAAGCCUAACGCAGCCAUGCCGCGUGUGUGAAGAAGGCCCUAGGGUUGUAAAGCACUUUCAAUUGGGAGGAAAAGCUAAUGGUUAAUAGCCAUUAGCCCUGACGUUACCUUUAGAAGAAGCACCGGCUAACUCCGUGCCAGCAGCCGCGGUAAUACGGAGGGUGCAAGCGUUAAUCGGAAUUACUGGGCGUAAAGCGCGCGUAGGCGGUUUUUUAAGUCGGAUGUGAAAGCCCCGGGCUCAACCUGGGAAUUGCAUCCGAUACUGGAUAACUAGAAUGCGGGAGAGGGAGGUAGAAUUCCAUGUGUAGCAGUGAAAUGCGUAGAUAUAUGGAGGAAUACCAGUGGCGAAGGCGGCCUCCUGGCUCGACAUUGACGCUGAGGUGCGAAAGCGCGGGGAGCAAACGGGAUUAGAUACCCCGGUAGUCCACGCCGUAAACGAUGUCUACUAGCUGUAGGGGUACUUGAGACCUUUGUAGCGCAGCUAACGCAAUAAGUAGACCGCCUGGGGGAGUACGGCCGCAAGGUUAAAACUCAAAUGAAUUGACGGGGGCCCGCACAAGCAGUGGAGCAUGUGGUUUAAUUCGAUGCAACGCGAAGAACCUUACCAGGCCUUGACAUCCCCGGAACUUUCUAGAGAAUAGAUUGGUGCCUUCGGGAACCGGGUGACAGGUGCUGCAUGGCUGUCGUCAGCUCCUGUCCUGAGAAUGUUUGGGUUAAGUCCCGUAACGAGCGCAACCCUUGUCCUUAGUUGCCAGCCCAUAAUGGUUGGGAACUCUAAGGAGACUGCCGGUGACAAACCGGAAGGAAG
rnacentral:rRNA from 1 species